rnacentral:rRNA from 1 species
AACACGGAGAGUUUGAUCCUGGCUCAGAACUAACGCUGGCGGC